rnacentral:rRNA from 1 species
AGUGGGGAAUAUUGCACAAUGGGCGCAAGCCUGAUGCAGCCAUGCCGCGUGUGUGAAGAAGGCCUUCGGGUUGUAAAGCACUUUCAGUAGGGAGGAAGGUGGUAGUGUUAAUAGCACUGUCAUUUGACGUUACCUACAGAAGAAGCACCGGCUAACUCCGUGCCAGCAGCCGCGGUAAUACGGAGGGUGCGAGCGUUAAUCGGAAUUACUGGGCGUAAAGCGCAUGCAGGUGGUUUGUUAAGUCAGAUGUGAAAGCCCCGGGCUCAACCUGGGAAUUGCAUUUGAAACUGGCAAACUAGAGUACUGUAGAGGGGGGUAGAAUUUCAGGUGUAGCGGUGAAAUGCGUAGAGAUCUGAAGGAAUACCGGUGGCGAAGGCGGCCCCCUGGACAGAUACUGACACUCAGAUGCGAAAGCGUGGGGAGCAAACAGGAUUAGAUACCCUGGUAGUCCACGCCGUAAACGAUGUCUACUUGGAGGUUGUGGCCUUGAGCCGUGGCUUUCGGAGCUAACGCGUUAAGUAGA